rnacentral:rRNA from 1 species
UACGUAGGGUGCAGGCGUUAAUCGGAAUUACUGGGCGUAAAGCGUGCACAGGCGGCUCCUUAAGUCAGAUGUGAAAUCCCCGGGCUUAACCUGGGAACUGCGUUUGAAACUGGGGAGCUCGAGUGUGGAAGAGGGGGGUGGAAUUCCAGGUGUAGCAGUGAAAUGCGUAGAGAUCUGGAGGAACACCGAUGGCGAAGGCAGCCCCCUGGGCUAACACUGACGCUCAUGCACGAAAGCGUGGGGAGCAAACAGG